rnacentral:other from 1 species
CUCACCCUGCAAUGUUUGUGCUUCAUAGAUUAUUUGAACCAACACCUAUCUUAUGGGAACCUAAAUCUUUGAAUGGUGUGUAGGUUUUACCAUGUGAAGCCUCCUAAUAUCAAAGAGUGGUGCCCACUUGUUUACUAGGUCCAAAUAACAUGUCUCACGGCAGCGCGGGGUUUUU